rnacentral:ncRNA from 2 species
GGGUGUCCGCUGCAUGGUGCGGCAGGGCAGGUUCUUCGCGCUGGUCGGGCCGCCACG